rnacentral:lncRNA from 1 species
UUGGCUUUUCAGUUUGUGCUACAAUAAGAGAUUGGAACAGAGUUUCUUUUUUGUUGCCAAAGAUUAGGGCAGAGUUGAGAUUGGAACAGAGUUUAUUGUGUUGCUGAGGUUGAACUAAAAAGUUCAAGAGAGAUACGGUCAUAUUUAAGUUUAAAUUGACAAAACCAGUCUAAGAAAAUAUCGAGACUCUUUCUUGUUUACUGUAUGAACAGAGAUUUCUUUUCAUAAAAUAAAAUAGUAUCUACAUUCAUAGAGUAAAGCUUGAGGAAGUAACCUCUUU